GAGUUUGAUCCUGGUUCAGGAUGAACGCUAGCGAUAGGCUUAACACAUGCAAGUCGAGGGGCAGCACUGGUUAUCGGCAACGGUAUCCUGGUGGCGACCGGCGCACGGGUGAGUAACACGUAUGCAACCUACCCUUAACCGGGGGAUAACCCGGGGAAAUCCGGGCUAAUACCCCAUGAGACGGCAUCAUCGCCUGAUGUUACCGUUAAAGAUUGAUCGGUUUUGGAUGGGCAUGCGUUCCAUUAGCUCGUUGGUGGGGUAACGGCCCACCAAGGCCACGAUGGAUAGGGGAACUGAGAGGUUCAUCCCCCACACUGGAACUGAGACACGGUCCAGACUCCUACGGGAGGCAGCAGUGAGGAAUCUUGGUCAAUGGAGGCAACUCUGAACCAGCCACGUCGCGUGAAGGAGGAAGGCCUUACGGGUCGUAAACUUCUUUUUCGGGGGAAUAAACGGGGUCACGCGUGGCCCCCUGCAUGUACCCCGCGAACAAGGAUCGGCUAACUCCGUGCCAGCAGCCGCGGUAAUACGGAGGAUCCGAGCGUUAUC
rnacentral:rRNA from 1 species